rnacentral:lncRNA from 1 species
CACAAACAAGAUUAAUCCGAAAUAUAACAAUUUACGACGAUCUUCAUCUACUGCUGAUCUGAUCCCCUUAGUGAAUGCUAUGAAAAUCUUAAGUGGUAUGACCGAAGAGCAGCGGAAUAAGCUUAUAGACACAACCCUGGGCGCAAACCAGUCACAAACAGAAAACGAGAAAAAUGACGCUUGUAUUUAAACCAAAAUUCCUCACCAAGAAAAUGAAGUCCGUACCUUUAAUUGAAGUGUCUCAUCUGGAUGGAGUUAACGAAUUACGUAAAAUUGCAAAUGAUACAAUUAAAGCUACUAAUAUAGAAGCUGCCAGCAAACAGUCUACAAAAGCACCAAUUAUAUCGGAACCCAUCGCACCGUUUACUACCAAAACUGUUGAAGUUAAUGAACAGCCUGCUACAGUCCAGGAGACUAGACAAGAAGAUGCG